GCACUGCUGACGAGUCCUAAACAGGAUGACACAGCUGUCCAGUGC
rnacentral:hammerhead_ribozyme from 1 species